rnacentral:rRNA from 1 species
UGCUGAUUUGCUGACGAGUGGCGGACGGGUGAGUAAUGUCUGGGAAACUGCCUGAUGGAGGGGGAUAACUACUGGAAACGGUAGCUAAUACCGCAUAACGUCGCAAGACCAAAGAGGGGGACCUUCGGGCCUCUUGCCAUCGGAUGUGCCCAGAUGGGAUUAGCUAGUAGGUGGGGUAACGGCUCACCUAGGCGACGAUCCCUAGCUGGUCUGAGAGGAUGACCAGCCACACUGGAACUGAGACACGGUCCAGACUCCUACGGGAGGCAGCAGUGGGGAAUAUUGCACAAUGGGCGCAAGCCUGAUGCAGCCAUGCCGCGUGUAUGAAGAAGGCCUUCGGGUUGUAAAGUACUUUCAGCGGGGAGGAAGGGAGUAAAGUUAAUACCUUUGCUCAUUGACGUUACCCGCAGAAGAAGCACCGGCUAACUCCGUGCCAGCAGCCGCGGUAAUACGGAGGGUGCAAGCGUUAAUCGGAAUUACUGGGCGUAAAGCGCACGCAGGCGGUUUGUUAAGUCAGAUGUGAAAUCCCCGGGCUCAACCUGGGAACUGCAUCUGAUACUGGCAAGCUUGAGUCUCGUAGAGGGGGGUAGAAUUCCAGGUGUAGCGGUGAAAUGCGUAGAGAUCUGGAGGAAUACCGGUGGCGAAGGCGGCCCCCUGGACGAAGACUGACGCUCAGGUGCGAAAGCGUGAGGAGCAAACAGGAUUAGAUACCCUGGUAGUCCACGCCGUANACGAUGUCGACUUGGAG